UGGGGAAUAUUAGUCAAUGGGGGAAACCCUGAACUAGCAACGCCGCGUGAAGGAAGAAGGUCUUCGGAUUGUAAACUUUUGUCUUCAGGGAAGAAAUAAAUGACGGUACCUGAGGAGGAAGCCACGGCUAACUACGUGCCAGCAGCCGCGGUAAUACGUAGGUGGCAAGCGUUGUCCGGAAUUACUGGGUGUAAAGGGUGCGUAGGCGGGUAUGUAAGUCAGGUGUGAAAUUCCGAGGCUCAACUUCGGAACUGCAUUUGAAACUACAUAUCUUGAGUGAAGGAGAGGUAAGUGGAAUUCCCAGUGUAGCGGUGAAAUGCGUAGAUAUUGGGAGGAACACCAGUGGCGAAGGCGACUUACUGGACUUUAACUGACGCUGAUGCACGAAAGCGUGGGUAGCAAAC
rnacentral:rRNA from 1 species